GACGAACGCUGGCGGCGUGCCUAAUACAUGCAAGUUGAGCGCUGAAGGUUGGUACUUGUACCAACUGGAUGAGCAGCGAACGGGUGAGUAACGCGUGGGGAAUCUGCCUUUGAGCGGGGGACAACAUUUGGAAACGAAUGCUAAUACCGCAUAAAAACUUUAAACACAAGUUUUAAGUUUGAAAGAUGCAAUUGCAUCACUCAAAGAUGAUCCCGCGUUGUAUUAGCUAGUUGGUGAGGUAAAGGCUCACCAAGGCGAUGAUACAUAGCCGACCUGAGAGGGUGAUCGGCCACAUUGGGACGGAGACACGGCCCAAACUCCUACGGGAGGCAGCAGUAGGGAAUCUUCGGCAAUGGACGAAAGUCUGACCGAGCAACGCCGCGUGAGUGAAGAAGGUUUUCGGAUCGUAAAACUCUGUUGGUAGAGAAGAACGUUGGUGAGAGUGGAAAGCUCAUCAAGUGACGGUAACUACCCAGAAAGGGACGGCUAACUACGUG
rnacentral:rRNA from 1 species